rnacentral:lncRNA from 1 species
UGCCCCUGAAAUGUCUUGAUAUGAGGUUAUUUGAUUAUAACUUCAACUAAGUUCAUUAUAAAGGCAUUUGACCUUGUACAAAAGGUUAAGGUGACAAAUGACCUUGAAAAAUGACUACCGGAAGUGACCUUGAGAAAACCGGAAGUAGCCUUUUUUGCAAUUUUUUCAUAUAAAAGUACUCAGAAUCCAUAUAUUUUGUCAUAUAGAUACAUAAACUGAUUACUGAAGACUAAAAAUGACUUCCAACAAACCGGAAGUGGCCAAUUAUCUCCCAUUCUACAUACAAAAGUAUAUAGAAACUAUAUAUUUUUGGAAUCAGUGUGAAAGAAGCUAUCAUAUGAGACCGGAAGUGACAUUCAUUUCACCGGAAGUAGCAUAUUAUCUCCCUUAUAUCACUCAAAAAUAUAAUUAAACCAUUAUUUAUCGCAUCAGUAUGAAGAAACUAUCUUCUUAUCAAAAAUUUCUUUGAUGUGGAAAGACUUUCAAUUGUUCUCUGAACAAUUGGUUUUUAAUUAUUAUUAUUAUUAUUAUUAUUUUUUUUUUCUUUCCGCCAAAUUUUGUUCUUGCGAAAUGUUUGUUUCGCAAUAUGUCGCUUAGAUAUUUCUCAUAUUGUAUCGUAUAGUUUAUGCGCUUUUAAAUUUCACCCUGCUAAGCCGAACCAUUUUCUUUGUAAGAGUUAUCUCCCUAUUCACUGUUUAUCAUCUGUGUGCAUCUCCUUCGUAACAAAAAAAGAUAGCGACAAAAUUCUUUUUACAAAUUGUUCGUUACAUCCUCAGAAUUUUUGGCUAAUUUGGAUCGAAGCGAUUCGAUGAAAUUUUAUAGGAGUUAUCUAUCUUUACGGAAUAAAUUUGUCGGUAUGUUUUUUUAACUCAUAAACCGUUAACCGUAU